rnacentral:tRNA from 1 species
UGGCUCAAACGGAAAAGUGUCUGCCUGCAAUGCAGGAGACCCAGGUUCAAUCCCUGG